rnacentral:rRNA from 1 species
UUUAUAUGAGAGUUUGAUCCUGGCUCAGGAUGAACGCUGGCGGCGUGCCUAAUACAUGCAAGUCGAACGAGUUCUGAUUAUUGAAAGGUGCUUGCAUCUUGAUUUAAUUUUGAACGAGUGGCGGACGGGUGAGUAACACGUGGGUAACCUGCCCUUAAGUGGGGGAUAACAUUUGGAAACAGAUGCUAAUACCGCAUAAAUCCAAGAACCGCAUGGUUCUUGGCUGAAAGAUGGCGUAAGCU